AUUGAACGCUGGCGGCAGGCCUAACACAUGCAAGUCGAGCGGAUGAAGGGAGCUUGCUCCUGGAUUCAGCGGCGGACGGGUGAGUAAUGCCUAGGAAUCUGCCUGGUAGUGGGGGAUAACGUCCGGAAACGGGCGCUAAUACCGCAUACGUCCUGAGGGGGAAAGUGGGGGAUCUUCGGACCUCACGCUAUCAGAUGAGCCUAGGUCGGAUUUGCUAGUUGGUGGGGUAAAGGCCUACCACGGCGACGGUCCGUAACUGGUGUGAGAGGAUGAUCAGUCACACUGGAACUGAGACACGGUCCAGGCUCCUACGGGAGGCAGCAGUGGGGAAUAUUGGACAAUGGGCGAAAGCCUGAUCCAGCCAUGCCGCGUGUGUGAAGAAGGUCUUCGGAUUGUAAAGCACUUUAAGUUGGGAGGAAGGGCAGUAAGUUAAUACCUUGCUGUUUUGACGUUACCAACAGAAUAAGCACCGGCUAACUUCGUG
rnacentral:rRNA from 1 species